UAACUGCGAUAAGUAGCGUGAAUUGCAGACGCAUUGAACGUUAAACUUUCGAACGCACAUUGCGCCGUAGGAGUUCUACCCUACGGCACAUCUGGUUGAGGGUCGUGAAUCAAAAACACAGCGGACAAAUGGCUGUAUUACGACUCUUGGUUGGCCAUAACUUCGGUGCCCGUCUUGCGCCGAAUGUGGUCAUCCAUCAUGGAUUGAAGACGCCAUUGAGUGUCUUUGCCACAAGGGCGGCUGAUCCCCUCACGAUAAAGGGCCAGCCAGUUGGGUACUCUACUACUCUUCUGUACAUACCCAGCUGUGAGUUGGACCGAGGAUUCAGCACGAUUAUCGCCUUUGCUUGGCGCAUCUCGCAAUCCCGACCUCAACUCAGGUGUGAUUACCCGCUGAACUUAAGC
rnacentral:misc_RNA from 1 species